UACGUAGGGUGCAAGCGUUUAGGCGGAAUCACUGGGCUUAAAGCGUGUGUAGGCGGAUCGUUAAGUGCCUUGUGAAAUCCCACGGCUUAACUGUGGAACGGCUGGGCAUACUGGCGGUCUUGAGCCAUCUAGGGGCGACUGGAACAAACGGUGGAGCGGUGAAAUGCGUAGAUAUCGUUUGGAACGCCAAUGGUGAAAACAGGUCGCUGGGGAUGAGCUGACGCUGAGACACGAAAGCCAGGGGAGCAAACGGG
rnacentral:rRNA from 1 species